CAGGUAUUGCGCAAUAAUCAAGAUGGCGCCCGCUUAGACUCAGAGCAACAACAUCGGCGUGUUUCAGAGUUAAAACGGCGUAAAAAAAAAUGUGUCAAUCAUUAUCAUCGCCCAGAGCACCAUCGCCCCCGGUACCGUCUGCUUUCAAAAUUAAUGCUGUUGUCUUCCUGAAAAGACAUUGGUGUUGGCACAUCUACUGUUCCCUAUGCAGCUCUUCAGGCCUUUCUAACUUCCACACCAAUGAUGAGACCUUGUCUGGACCUAGAAGAUUACAUAACAGCUUUGAUAGGUUCCAGUUUGCGUAUCAUCUGAGUGACCUGAUAAAGCUUGUGUUUGGUUGAAGUGGACACACCAGACUUUCCUGGCAAACAGACACACCAGGUUUCAUGCUUCUGUCAAGCUAAAGACAAGACAGCGUUCAGCAGCUAGUAACCACUGUGACUUAAGAGCUCCAUUACCGGUUUACACAACUUCAUUAUACAGGAAACCCUGUUUCCAUUUCAUUGGUUAUGAAUAAAGUGCUUUAAUUUCAAAGAGGGGUUUGGCCUUUUUGAUGAAAUAACAAUGAAAAUGUGAGUUUUGCUAGUAAUCUUUUACUACAGGUAGUGAAUGGUGUUGACAGAUCACAGUAUAAAAUUUACAGUAUUCUCUAAAGCAUUUUAAAAGGGUAACAAACAGAUAAUCUGCAGGAGGAUAACACAUGGGAUAGCUACAGUAAUCUCUAUACUUUUACUUUGAUAACAUCCUUGUGUUUAUUAUUUAUAAGGUUUCUUUUUAGUAGAAAUGAUUACUUGACUAAUGUUUACAUCUUCUCUUUGUUUCAUAUUGUACAUUCCACCCCCCAAAACCUGACAUUUACUAUACAUUACAUAGUUAGUGUUUCCCUUACAAAACUUACUGUGCUACAUGUUAACACAUUAGCUCUAUAUCUCUUCACAACAAAUGCGCUCUACUUCACUGGGCUAUGCAGGUGACUUCUCACAAAUGUAGGCUACCUGUUAAGACAAACUAAGAGAGUGUAUGUUUAUGGUUUAGACAGUUUAUGCAUAAAUACUAAGCUAACAUUAUGUGGCAGAGACUUUUCAAUAGUAGUAUGCUAAUAACAAAGCAAGCGGAGUUAACGUUAGUGUUGUAGCAUGAAGUUCCAAAUAAAGCAAAAUACCACAUCCAA